rnacentral:lncRNA from 1 species
CCUUUCCAGCUUUGUUCUUCCGGCCCUGCUGUCUGCCUCCCCGGCUGAUUGGAUUCGUUACUGCUUUGCAACGCGCACCUAACUCCAGGCUGGAAUGCAAUAGCGUGGUCUUGGCUCACUGCAACCUCCGCCUCCCGGGUUCAAGCAAUUCUCCUGCCUCAGCCUCCUAAGUAGCUGGGACUACAGCUUGAGGUCCUACCUGGUGUCCUCCAUGAGAAUCAUACAAGCCCCGCUACAGACAACAGAAUUGGAAGGUCCUGAGAGCUACCAGAAGCAUCUUCAGUUUUCAUAUGAAAAACUUAAGCCCAGGAGUGAUUUGUGCAGCCAAGGACACACAGCAAGUUAGUGGCUGCACCAGAAAUAGUACUCACUGCCUCAGACAGUCCCUCCCACAGUCUACUCUGUCUCCACCCCAAGGUCUGGUUCUGAAUCAUUCAGUUGUCAGUUGUCUCCUUUUUUUUUUUUUUUUUUGGAGACAGGGUCUCUCUCUGUGGCCCAGGCUGAAGUGCAGUGGUGUGAUUACAGCUCAUGUAGCCUGGACCUCCCAAGCUCAAGCAAUCCUCCUGCCUCUGCC